rnacentral:rRNA from 1 species
AUUGAACGCUGGCGGCAGGCCUAACACAUGCAAGUCGAGCGGAGCGGCGGACGGGUGAGUAAUGCAUAGGAAUCUGCCUGGUAGUGGGGGAUAACGUCCGGAAACGGGCGCUAAUACCGCAUACUAUCAGAUGAGCCUAGGUGGGAUUAGCUAGGUGGUUGGGUAAAGGCCUACCAAGGCGAGGAGCCGUAACUGGUCUGAGAGGAUGAUAGGCCACACUGGAACUGAGACACGGUCCAGACUCCUACGUGAGGCAGCAUUGGGGAAUAUUGGACAAUGGGCGAAGGCCUGAUCCAGCCAUGCCGCGUGUGUGAAGCAGGUCUUCGGAUUGUAAAGCACUUUAAGUUGGGAGGCGUUACCAACAGAAUAAGCACCGGCUAACUUCGUGCCAGCAGCCGCGGUAAUUC